UACGUAGGGGGCAAGCAUUGUCCGGAUUUAUUGGGCGUAAAGCGCGUGUAGGCGGCCAGAUAGGUCUGAUGUGAAAACUGGAGGCUCAACCUCCAGCUGUCAUCAGAAACCAUUUGGCUAGAGUCCGGAAGAGGAGAGUGGAAUUCCUGGUGUAGCGGUGAAAUGCGCAGAUAUCAGGAAGAACACCUAUGGCGAAGGCAGCUCUCUGGGACGGUACUGACGCUGAGACGCGAAAGCGUGGGGAGCGAAC
rnacentral:rRNA from 1 species